GCGCCGCGCCGGCCGCUCUAGCCACCCUCGCGUGCACCGCUUGGUUUCCGGCUCCGUGCGCUUGGAUGCCCGGAGGCGCUCCCGGCACGUGGAGAGGCGCGGGCAUCCCGCCGCCUCACCCCGCACCACGCAGAUGUUUGAGGAGCCGGAGUGGGCCGAGGAGGCCUCAUUGGCCGCGGGCCUCCGGCCUGUAGCCUCGCGGCCUCGGCCGGCGGCAGCCUGCCCGAUCAAGGGCUCCAAGCGCCGACAGCUCUUGGCCACACUACGGGCCCUGGAGGCAGCAUCUCUUUCCCAACAGCUCCCCAGCCUGCCUGGCAGCGACUCUGAGGAGGAGGAGGAAGUGGUGGAAAGGAAAAAGAAACGCCCCAAAAAGGCCUCAUUGGCCAGUGUUUCUGCUGAAGUAGAGGAGAAAAGGAAGAAGCAGCAUCAAAAACAAGGCCUGCCUGGCAGUGACUCUGAGGAAAAGGAAGUAAAGAAGAAGUGCCGCAAAAGGGCUCUUGAAAGUGAUUCUGCUGCAGAAGAAAAAAGAAAGGGGAAAUGCCAGAAACAGGCGCCUUCCAACCCUGCCCAGCACCUGGACAGUGUUGACCCAACAGGUCCCAAAGCUUGGAAGAGGAGUGCUACAGGUGACCCAUCCAAGCCAAGCUCUGUGGCCACCUCCCCCCAGACUCCCCAUGCCUUGAGUCGCAAGCAGUGGCGGAACCGGCAGAAGAACAAGCGCAGGCACAAGAACAAGUUUCGGCCACCUCAGCUGCCAGACCCAGCCAAAGUCACAGCCCCCACAGAGGAGACAGAGGUGCCUCCUGCCCCCACUCAAGAUGACCACGAGGCUCGGGCAGGAGCUCUGCGAGCCCGCAUGGCACAGCGGCUGGAUGGUGCUCGAUUUCGCUACCUCAAUGAACAGCUGUACUCAGGGCCCAGCAGUGCUGCACAACGCCUCUUCCAGGAAGACCCCCAGGCCUUCCUCCUCUACCACCGCGGCUUCCAGAGCCAAGUCAAGAAGUGGCCGCUACAGCCAGUGGACCGCAUCGCCAGGGAUCUUCGCCAGCGGCCUGCGUCCCUGGUGGUAGCUGACUUUGGCUGCGGGGACUGCCGCCUGGCUUCAAGUAUCCGGAACCCGGUGCACUGCUUUGACUUGGCCUCUCUGGACCCCAGGGUCACUGUAUGUGACAUGGCCCAGGUGCCUCUGGAGGAUGAGUGUGUAGAUGUGGCUGUGUUCUGCCUUUCGCUGAUGGGAACCAACAUCAGGGACUUCCUAGAGGAGGCAAAUCGAGUGCUGAAGCCCGGGGGUCUCCUGAAAGUGGCUGAAGUUAGCAGCCGCUUUGAAGAUGUUCGGGCCUUUUUGGGAGCCGUGACCAAACUGGGCUUCAAGAUCAUCUCCAAGGACCUGACCAACAGCCACUUCUUCUUGUUUGAUUUUGAAAAGACUGGGCCCCCUCGAGUGGGGCCCAAGGCUCAACUCUCAGGCCUGAAGCUUCAGCCAUGUCUCUAUAAGCGCAGGUGACCUCUGAACCCCGCCUUGAAGGGGGAGGCAAGUCUUGAACUCCGUUGUCAGAACUCCGAAGACUAUAACCAGCCAGGCUGUGACCCAGGACCGGAACCACCCUUCCUCUAUCCCACGAACGAAGUGUGAUGAAACCCCUGGUUCAGCCCCGCUCUGCUAAAGGAUUCUUGGUUUCAAGAAGCAUAAAAUCACUCGGGCUGGCCAAAGAAUAAGGAGUUUAUGGAGUUCAACCAGGAGACCCAUCACUCACUAUGAUGUGUACUGACCACCAGGGGGCAUGGAAUGAAGGAAGGCCCGGCUGGCAGCUGGCAGCAGGUAAAGGGAGGCCCCAGCCGGCAGCCGGAAGGCCCUGAUUGGCCCUGAAUGCCGGCCAGGCCUAGGGACCCUACCCUUGCACAAAUUCAUGCAACAGGCCUCUAGUAUAAAAUAAAAUGUAGGUAUUUUAAAAGUAUAAUUCAAUGAACUUUGACAAAUGUAUGUACCUGUGUAAUCACCAACCUGAUGAUAUUUAGAACAUUUUCACCACCCCAGAAGUUCCUUCAUGCCCCCCACUUCACUGUCCCCGGAAUUUCUAUCUGAUCUAAUUUCUAUCACUAUAGAUUAACUUGCCUAUUCUAGAACUUCAUAUAAGGGGAAUCAUACACUAUAUGCAAUUUACCAUUCUGGCUUCUUUCACUCAGCAUGAUUCUGAGAUUCAUUCCUGUUUUGUGUGCACCAGUAGAUUGUUCCAUUUGGUUGCUGAGUAGUAGUCUACUUUGAAAAUGCCACAAUUUGUAGAUCCAUUGACAGACACUGAUGGACACUUAGGUUUCUGCAUUUUGACUAUUCAGGAUAAUAAUGCUGCUAUGAACAUUCCCGUAUACGUUUGAGAACAUAAAUAUGAUUUUAUUUCACUUGGGUAAAUACUUACAAAUAGAAUUGCUGGGUCUUAUGAUAAGUAUAUAUUUAAUUUGAUAAGGAAUUGCCACACUUUUUUCAUAGUGGUUAUAUCAUUUUACAGUCCCAUCAGCAAAGUAUGAGUUUCAGUUGCUCUGCAUUUCCCAACACUUUCUAUUCUCAGUCUUUCUAAUUGUAAUCUUUCUGGUAGGUUUGAACUACUAUCUCAUGGUGGUUUUAAUUUGCAGUUCACUGAUGCCUAAUAUCAUGGAGAAUCUUUUCAUGUGCUAAUUGGUGCCAUAUCUUUCUUUCGUGAAGUGUCUGUUCUUUUGUACAUUUUUAAAAAUGGAGUUUGUUUCCUUAUUGAGUUGUACAUUAUUUUAUAUAUUCUGAAUAUAAGUUCUUUGUCAGAUAUAUGUAUCAUGAAUAUUUUCUGUCUAUGGCAUGUAUCUGUCCAGUUUGGGCAAUACUACUUAUCAAAGAGACUGUCUUUAUACCAUUGUAUAUCUUUCCCUCCUUUGUCAUAAAUUAAUUGACAGUAUAAGCGAGGAUUUAUUUCUUGGAUCUCU